rnacentral:rRNA from 1 species
UAAGUAGGGUGUAUGCGUUGUCCGGAUUUAUUGGGUUUAAAGGGUGCGUAGGUGUCUUUUUAAGUCAUGGGUGAAAGCCCGCAGCUCAACUGUGGAAUUGCCUGUGAUACUGAGGAGCUUGAGUGCGGUUGAGGCAGCUGGAAUUGGUGGUGUAGCGGUGAAAUGCAUAGAUACCACCAGGAACACCGAUUGCGAAGGCAGGUUGCUAAGCCGUAACUGACACUGAGGCACGAAAGCGUGGGGAGCAAACAGG